CGAGAAGCAGGGCCGGCUCGGGCCUUAGGCGACUGAGGCGGUCGCCUAAGGCCCCCGGCCUAGGGAAGGCCCCCUCCCCAUCGCACAGUUUUUUUUUUUUGUUUAAUUAAUGCAUAGUUUUCAGCCUUUCCCAUCCGAAAGCUACCUUAUAGAGUCAUAGCUGGGCAGUGGGCGACGGCUACCGGGCUACGCCGCUACAGUCCAUCCCCUUCGGCUUCUCCCCGACGACAGACUGGCUAGGCCCUGGGCAACGGCUACGGCAAUUGACAAAUGACAAGCAAUGGCAUUUCCUCCCCCCUUCUCUCCUCCCUUCUCAGUUCUCUGCUGGGGCUUUCUUUUUUAUUGCUGAACCUUCUCCGGUUCUCGGUAGUCCUCUCCAGGCUCCACCGCAGCACCGCUCUAUCUCUCCUCACUGUCCUCGACUUCUCCGAGGCUCCAAGCCUCCUACCUCCGGCCUCCGGCCUCCGGCCUCUGGCCUCCGGCCUCCGGCCUCCUCGGCUAGUCGGCUCUGCUCUAAAGUCCACCGUCCUCGGUCCUCCUCCGUUCGCCGUCCUCGGAUCUCCCCGUCGAGCCGACACUCCGCAGUCCGCACUCGGCCGAAGAGGGAUCAGGGAGGCGGCGUCGCCGGCGUGAUGGCGUCUCUUCUCCUUCCCGGCCCUCCGCCCUCUCCAGGUUUCUGGUGAUGGCUAAUGGGAUGGCUGCAGGUUAUAGUCUAAUCCAGGGGCCAGGAGGUGAGGUCUGUGGUGAGCAUGAUAAAAGGAAGUGUUCUCUUCAACAAGGCCUUGGCUUGGGCUAUCUUCUAAUGUGAUCUGGUAUGUUGUAAAUUCUUUGGGGCAGGGCCUCUUCACAUACAUUGGAAAGCAUUUGUGGUGUAGAUGAAUGCACAUAGCUAGGUUGUUAAAGGGUGGUGAAAGGUUUAGAUUUCUAAACACUAAUAGCUAAGCAUAAAUGGACCCUAUUCUCAUAGCUUUUCACUACUUGUAAGCACUGAUUUCGGAACAUCUAAUAGCUAUUAUUUUUAAAUGAAUUUUUAAAA